rnacentral:rRNA from 1 species
AACGAACGCUGGCGGCAUGCCUUACACAUGCAAGUCGAACGGCAGCACGGGUGCUUGCACCUGGUGGCGAGUGGCGAACGGGUGAGUAAUACAUCGGAACGUACCUUAUCGUGGGGGAUAACGCAGCGAAAGCUGUGCUAAUACCGCAUACGCCCUGAGGGGGAAAGCGGGGGAUCGCAAGACCUCGCGCGAUUAGAGCGGCCGAUGCCUGAUUAGCUUGUUGGUGGGGUAAAAGCCCACCAAGGCGACGAUCAGUAGCUGGUCUGAGAGGACGAUCAGCCACACUGGGACUGAGACACGGCCCAGACUCCUACGGGAGGCAGCAGUGGGGAAUUUUGGACAAUGGGGGCAACCCUGAUCCAGCAAUGCCGCGUGAGUGAAGAAGGCCUUCGGGUUGUAAAGCUCUUUUGUCAGGGAAGAAACACCGGCUCUAACACAGUCCGGGAAUGACGGUACCUGAAGAAUAAGCACCGGCUAACUACGUGCCAGCCGCCGCGGUAA